rnacentral:rRNA from 1 species
GAUGAACGCUAGCGAUAGGCUUAACACAUGCAAGUCGAGGGGCAACACAAGGUAGCUUGCUAUCUGGGUGGCGCCCGGCGCACGGGUGCGUAACGCGUAUGCAACUUGCCUUAUACAGGAGGAUAACCCGUCGAAAGACGGACUAAUACUGCGUAUGAUCAAAACUUGGCAUCCAGUGGUGAGGGACGAAAUUCGGUAUAGGAUAGGCAUGCGUCCCAUUAGCUUGUUGGUAAGGUAACGGCUCACCAAAGCAACGCUGGGUAGGGGAACUGAGAGGUUUAUCCCCCACACUGGUACUGAGACACGGACCAGUCUCCGACGGGAGGCAGCAGUAAGGAAUAUUGUUCAAUGGGCGCUAGCCUGAACCAGCCAAGUCGCGUAAAGGAUGACUGUCUUAUUGAUUGUAAACUUCUUUGAUACGGGAAUAACAAGAGUCACGUGUGACUCCCUGCAUGUACCUAAUGAAUAAGCAUCGGCUAACUCCGUG